AGUGAACGCUGGCGGCGUGCUUAAUACAUGCAAGUCGAACGAUGAAGCUUCUAGCUUGCUAGAAGUGGAUUAGUGGCGCACGGGUGAGUAAUAUAUAGUUAAUCUGCCUUGCACUGAGGAACAACAGUUGGAAACGAUUGCUAAUACCUCAUACUCCAACUUAGCAUAAGUUAAGUUGGGAAAGUCUUUUCGGUGCAAGAUGAGACUAUAUCGUAUCAGCUAGUUGGUAAGGUAAUGGCUUACCAAGGCUAUGACGCGUAACUGGUCUGAGAGGAUGAUCAGUCACAUUGGAACUGAGACACGGUCCAAACUCCUACGGGAGGCAGCAGUAAGGAAUAUUGUGCAAUGGGGGAAACCCUGACGCAGCAACGCCGCGUGGAGGAUGACACUUUUCGGAGCGUAAACUCCUUUUGUUAGGGAAGAAUAAUGACGGUACCUAACGAAUAAGCACCGGCUAACUCCGUG
rnacentral:rRNA from 1 species